AAGUCGUAACAAGGUAACCGUAGGUGAACCUGCGGUUGGAUCAUUACUGAAUUUUAAUCCACAAACACUUGUGAAUUUAAAACGGUUUUUUGGCGGGACUUGUGCCCGCCAGAUGCGUUAAACCCUUUUUAAACAGUGACUUUUUAUAUGACCGAAAGGUUUAAAUAUAUAAAGACAACUUUUGACAACGGAUCUCUUGGCUCUC
rnacentral:misc_RNA from 1 species